UGUCGUAUACUUAAGUGAUAUUUUAUACUCAUGCUUAAGUGCUUAAGUGAUAGUUAGCCGCAUAUUUAAGCCAUAAUAUUUAGCCAAUAAGUUCAAUAACCCUAUGAAAUAUUUGUGACCUUCACUGUACUGAAACUUACCUACCGUUUGCACGCACCUUUAUCGUCUUGUUAACAUAAUUACUGAAAAUAACUCAUGCUAGUUGAUUUUCUCUUGUAUAUCACACUUACACCAGCUCUCGAGAUGAUAUUAGCGUUUUUUGUGUUGACAAUCCUCGCUGUCGGUUGCGUGGACCAGAAAGGCGUGUGUAAAUGCAACCCCCUCGAAUGCACCGCGCCGAUUUGCGGCAGCGACUUAAACACAUACAAAUGCAUGUGUGAGCUGGACUGCCACAAUUAUUUUGCCGAUCCGGCCGCGCACGUGCGCAAGGUGCACGAUGGGGAGUGUACCCCGAAUUGUGGAUGUGUACCCGACCCGAAAGGCCCGCUCUGUGCGAGCGAUAUGAAGACGUAUGAGAGCGAAUGUGUCCUCACUUGCAACAAUCCACAUUUGAUACCAUUGUAUCCGGGGCCGUGCGUCGAUUAAAUGAUAAUCCAAAAUAAUAAAAAGAUAA